rnacentral:rRNA from 1 species
AGAGUUUGAUCAUGGCUCAGAAUGAACGUUGGCGGCGUGGAUUAGGCAUGCAAGUCGCGCGAUAAGCGUAGCAAUACGCAGAAAGCGGCGUAAGGGAGAGUAAUACAUGGUUAGCUACCCUCGGGACUGGGAUAGCGGCGGGAAACUGCCGGUAAUACCAGAUGAUGUCUUCGGACCAAACGUGUGAAUCGGCCCGAGGAGGCGACCAUGUCCUAUCAGCUAGUUGGCGGUGUAACGGACCACCAAGGCUAAGACGGGUAUGGGGCGUGAGAGCGUGCCCCCACUCACUGGGACUGAGACACUGCCCAGACACCUACGGGUGGCUGCAGUCGAGAAUCUUCGGCAAUGGGCGCAAGCCUGACCGAGCGACGCCGCGUGCGGGAUGAAGGCCUUCGGGUUGUAAACCGCUGUCGUAGGGGAGGAGGGCUCCGUGCAGAACGGAGUUGACCGAUCCUAGAGAAGUCC